UACGGAGGGUGCAAGCGUUGCUCGGAAUUAUUGGGCGUAAAGGGUAGGUAGGUGGUCUCAUUUGUCUGGGGUGAAAGCCUUGAGCUUAACUCAAGAAGUGCCUUAGAAACGGUGAGACUGGAGUCCUGGAGAGGGUCGUGGAAUUCCCGGUGUAGCGGUGAAAUGCGUAGAGAUCGGGAGGAACACCAGAGGCGAAGGCGGCGACCUGGACAGGUACUGACACUCAACUACGAAAGCGUGGGGAGCAAACAGG
rnacentral:rRNA from 1 species